rnacentral:rRNA from 1 species
UACGGAGGGAGCUAGCGUUGUUCGGAAUUACUGGGCGUAAAGCGCACGUAGGCGGCUAUUCAAGUCGGGGGUGAAAGCCCGGGGCUCAACCCCGGAACUGCCCUCGAAACUAGAUAGCUAGAAUCUUGGAGAGGCGAGUGGAAUUCCGAGUGCAGAGGUGAAAUUCGUAGAUAUUCGGAAGAACACCAGUGGCGAAGGCGACUCGCUGGGCAAGUAUUGACGCUGAGGUGCGAAAGCGUGGGGAGCAAACAGG